GUGCUUGAUACAUCAGCACAUAUACUAAAUAUGGAAUGAUAGAGAGAAUAUAACAUGGUCACUGCACAAGGAUGACACGCAAAUUUGUGAAGCGUUCCAUAUGUUU
ensembl:snRNA LOC120099046 U6 spliceosomal RNA